UACAGAGGUCCCAAGCGUUGUUCGGAUUCACUGGGCGUAAAGGGUGCGUAGGUGGUGAGGUAAGUCUGAUGUGAAAGCUCGGAGCUCAACUCCGAAAUGGCAUUGGAAACUACCUUGCUCGAGGGUUGGAGGGGGGACUGGAAUACUUGGUGUAGCAGUGAAAUGCGUAGAUAUCAAGUGGAACACCAGUGGCGAAGGCGAGUCCCUGGACAACUCCUGACACUGAGGCACGAAAGCUAGGGGAGCAAACAGG
rnacentral:rRNA from 1 species